GAUGAACGCUGUCUACAGGCUUAACUCAUGCAAGUCGAGGGGAAACGACGGGGAAGCUUGCUUCCCCGGGCGUCGACCGGCGCACGGGUGAGUAACGCGUAUCCAACCUGCCUCUGACUGAGGGAUAACCCGUCGAAAGUCGGCCUAAUACCUCAUGGCAUCGUCUGCGGGCAUCCAACGACGAUUAAAGAUUUCAUCGGUCAGGGAUGGGGAUGCGUCUGAUUAGCUUGUUGGCGGGGUAACGGCCCACCAAGGCUACGAUCAGUAGGGGUUCUGAGAGGAAGGUCCCCCACAUUGGAACUGAGACACGGUCCAAACUCCUACGGGAGGCAGCAGUGAGGAAUAUUGGUCAAUGGGCGGGAGCCUGAACCAGCCAAGUAGCGUGCAGGAUGACGGCCCUAUGGGUUGUAAACUGCUUUUAUGCGGGGAUAAAGUGAGGGACGUGUCCUUCAUUGCAGGUACCGCAUGAAUAAGGACCGGCUAAUUCCGUG
rnacentral:rRNA from 1 species